GAUGAACGCUGGCGGCGUGCCUAAUACAUGCAAGUCGAGCGAACAGAUGAGGAGCUUGCUCCUCUGACGUUAGCGGCGGACGGGUGAGUAACACGUGGAUAACCUACCUAUAAGACUGGGAUAACUUCGGGAAACCGGAGCUAAUACCGGAUAAUAUAUUGAACCGCAUGGUUCAAUAGUGAAAGACGGUUUUGCUGUCACUUAUAGAUGGAUCCGCGCCGCAUUAGCUAGUUGGUAAGGUAACGGCUUACCAAGGCAACGAUGCGUAGCCGACCUGAGAGGGUGAUCGGCCACCACGGAACUGAGACACGGUCCAGACUCCUACGGGAGGCAGCAGUAGGGAAUCUUCCGCAAUGGGCGAAAGCCUGACGGAGCAACGCCGCGUGAGUGAUGAAGGUCUUCGGAUCGUAAAACUCUGUUAUUAGGGAAGAACAAAUGUGUAAGUAACUAUGCACGUCUUGACGGGACCUAAUCAGAAAGCCACGGCUAACUACGUG
rnacentral:rRNA from 1 species